GCUAUAUACAGGGGGUUACGGUACAGAGUCAAUGUGGAGGCUAUAUACAGGGGGUACCAGUACAGAGUCAAUGUGGAGGCUAUAUACAGGGGUUACGGUACAGAGUCAAUGUGGAGGCUAUAUACAGGGGGUACCAGUACAGAGUCAAUGUGGAGGCUAUAUACAGGGGGUUACGGUACAGAGUCAAUGUGGAGGCUAUAUACAGGGGGUUACGGUACAGAGUCAAUAUGGAGGCUAUAUACAGGGUGUUACGGUACAGAGUCAAUGUGGAGGCUAUAUACAGGGGGUACCGGUUCAGAGUCAAUGUGGAGGCUAUAUACAGGGGGUACCGGUACGGAGUCAAUGUGGAGGCUAUAUACAGGGGGUACCGGUACAGAGUCAAUGUGGAGGCUAUAUACAGGAGGUACCGGUACAGAGUCAAUGUGGAGGCUAUAUACAGGGGGUACCGGUACAGAGUCAAUGUGGAGGCUAUAUACAGGGGUACCAGUACAGAGUCAAUGUGGAGGCUAUAUACAGGAGGUACCGGUACGGAGUCAAUGUGGAGGCUAUAUACAGGGGGUACCGGUACAGAGUCAAUGUGGAGGCUAUAUACAGGAGGUAC
ensembl:lncRNA